rnacentral:siRNA from 1 species
UUGUAAGUGACUGUGUUGCCA